rfam:Myotis davidii contig152730, whole genome shotgun sequence.
GCCUGUGUCGCUCAGUGGUCAGAGCGUUGGCCCGCACACCGGAGGGUCCCGGGUUCGAUUCCCGAUCAAGGGCA